UGAGGAAUAUUGGACAAUGGGCGCAAGCCUGAUCCAGCCAUGCCGCGUGCAGGAAGACUGCCCUAUGGGUUGUAAACUGCUUUUAUACAGGAAGAAACCUUUUCACGUGUGAGAAGCUGACGGUACUGUAAGAAUAAGGAUCGGCUAACUCCGUGCCAGCAGCCGCGGUAAUA
rnacentral:rRNA from 1 species